rnacentral:rRNA from 1 species
AUUGAACGCUGGCGGCAGGCCUAACACAUGCAAGUCGAACGAGUGGCGGACGGGUGAGUAAUGUCUGGGAAACUGCCCGAUGGAGGGGGAUAACUACUGGAAACGGUAGCUAAUACCGCAUACCAUCAGAUGUGCCCAGAUGGGAUUAGCUAGUAGGUGGGGUAAUGGCUCACCUAGGCGACGAUCCCUAGCUGGGCUGAGAGGAUGACCCGGCCAACCGGGAACGGGGAAAGGGCCAGAACCCUAAGGGAGGGAGGCGGUGGGAAUAUUGAACAAGGGGCGGAAACACGAUGCAGGCAUGCCGCGUGUAUGAAGAAGGCCUUCGGGUUGUAAAGUACUUUCAGCGGGGAGGCGUUACCCGCAGAAGAAGCACCGGCUAACUCCGUGCCAGCAGCCGCGGUAAUUC